rnacentral:rRNA from 1 species
GAAUUCACUAGUGAUUCAGGCCUAACACAUGCAAGUCGAGCGGUAGAGAGAAGCUUGCUUCUCUUGAGAGCGGCGGACGGGUGAGUAAUGCCUAGGAAUCUGCCUGGUAGUGGGGGAUAACGUUUGGAAACGGACGCUAAUACCGCAUACGUCCUACGGGAGAAAGCAGGGGACCUUCGGGCCUUGCGCUAUCAGAUGAGCCUAGGUCGGAUUAGCUAGUUGGUGAGGUAAUGGCUCACCAAGGCUACGAUCCGUAACUGGUCUGAGAGGAUGAUCAGUCACACUGGAACUGAGACACGGUCCAGACUCCUACGGGAGGCAGCAGUGGGGAAUAUUGGACAAUGGGCGAAAGCCUGAUCCAGCCAGGCCGCGUGUGUGAAGAAGGUCUUCGGAUGAAAUUUAAAGGGAGUUGGGAGGAAGGGCAUUAACCUAAUACGUUAG